rnacentral:rRNA from 1 species
CCUACGGGAGGCAGCAGUGGGGAAUAUUGGGCAAUGGGCGCAAGCCUGACCCAGCAACGCCGCGUGAAGGAAGAAGGCUUUCGGGUUGUAAACUUCUUUUAAGGGGGAAGAGCAGAAGACGGUACCCCUUGAAUAAGCCACGGCUAACUACGUGCCAGCAGCCGCGGUAAUACGUAGGUGGCAAGCGGUGUCCGGAUUUACUGGGUGUAAAGGGCGUGCAGCCGGAGAGACAAGUCAGAUGUGAAAUCCACGGGCUCAACCCGUGAACUGCAUUUGAAACUGUUUCCCUUGAGUGUCGGAGAGGUAAUCGGAAUUCCUUGUGUAGCGUUGAAAUGCGUAGAUAUAAGGAAGAACACCAGUGGCGAAGGCGGAUUACUGGACGAUAACUGACGGUGAGGCGCGAAAGCGUGGGGAGCAAACAGGAUUAGAUACCCGUGUAGUC